UGAGCAAUCUGCCCUUCUCUUCGGAAUAAGCGUUGGAAACGACGUCUAAUGCCGAAUACGACCUCCUUUCGCAUGAUCGGAGGUGGAAAGCUCCGGCGGAGAAGGAUGAGCUCGCGGCCUAUCAGCUAGUUGGUGUGGGUAAUGGCCCACCAAGGCGACGACGGGUAGCCGGCCCGAGAGGGUGACCGGCCACACUGGGACUGAGACACGGCCCAGACCUCCGUACGGGGAGCAGCAGGG
rnacentral:rRNA from 1 species